AAGAACACUACAAAUUGUCGUG
rnacentral:miRNA from 1 species